GCACUGUCCCCUCCCCGCUUCCCUCCAUGUGCAGAGCUUAAACUAGCCGUAUUUCUCAUCCAUAUUUCUAAUGUGUUUGUUUUGGGCUACGCUAAGUCUUCAUUGCUGCUCUCAGAGUUUCUCUAGUUGCGGCAAGUGAGGACUCCUCUCUAGUGGCGAUGGGCAAGCCUCUCAUCGCGGGGAUUUCUCUUCUUAAGAGCACGGGCUCUAGGGCUUGUGGGCUGCAGUAGCUGUGGAGCACAGGCUUAGUUGCCCUGUGGCACGUCCUCCGGGACCAAGGAUCGAACCCGUGUCCCCUGCCUUGGCAAACAGACUCCCGACCCCUGAACUACCGGAGAAGUCCUUCUUCAGCAUUUUUAAGUGUGCAGUUUAGUUACUGUUAAGAAUAUUCACAUUGUUAUGCAAUAAAACCUAGGUCUCGAAUGUCAUUUAGAAUAUAAGAAAGUUUCUAAAAAUGUCAGAAAAAUGAAGCCCAGGGUACCCAGGAAACCGUGAGAGAGGAUGGUAUAUAACGCAGACCCUUAGAGCAUUCAGGUGAGAGAGGAGACAGGUAGAUAGGUGGCCCUUUUGCAGGAUGGGCUUGCCUGAGAGCAUCCUAUUCAGCAGCUAAUUGUGAAGCUAGCGUGCAGGGGAGAAAUGGCAGUUUUCUACUUGAGAUUUCUUCAAGAAGUCAAAAAUAGGGCUACCAUCUUGAUAUACCGAUUUUAAAUUUUCCUUAAAGCUCUGAGUGUAGAAUGAGAGAAGAGCUCCAAUGAAAAUUUACAGAAUCUAUUGAUAAUUUGCACAAUUUCCUCCAAACUUUGCCCCAUACUCUGUGGCAUGUAUAGAGUUUCGGAUAUGUUUUGCGCUCUCUGGGUUCACACAAGGGGUGGGUAAUAUUUACUGCUAUUAUUCUAGUUUUCCAAGUGACCUGUAUCUUAUUAUUAUUUAUGAAAAUAUGGGUAUCAACUGCCAAAAAACAUCUUAGUGAGCAAGAAGCUCUAAGUGUUUGAGCCUGUCAAUGAUUACAUGGUUAAAUGAAAAUUUUAAGGUUAAAUAGGUGAGAUUAGCAAAAAGAUUGGAAGUUCUUAGUCAACCCCAAACUAGUAACAGUUCACUGCUUUCUUUUUUUUUCCUUUAGAAAAUUUAUUUUCACAACCCCUUACUGUUUGCACUCAUUCAUAAUACCCACAAAACAGGUUUGAAGCUGCUCAGUCCAACAGGAUGUCAGCGGCAGUUCCAAAGAAGCUAUGGGUUCAUGUUUUACCCAAGGAGAGAUGCUUUCAUUUCCAGCCUUGGAAAUGUAGGACUUGUUUAAUAGCCUUCCAUUUAGAAAGUGCUGCUGAAUUUGAGAAAACUUAGAGAAUGGCUCUGAGUUUCUUAUUCAAAACUGCUUUAGUAAACUUUUGCUUAUCAGUCCUGAGAAGAUGUGUUAAAACCAGCUUGGCAACUUUUUUUUUUUUUUUUUUCAAAUAUAGCAAGCUGGAGGGCCUUGAGAAGAGAGUUUUGAAAUAAUAUCAGUGUUGGAACCAAAACGGAAUGCUUUUGAACAGGAAUCCUCCUAUAUGUCUCUGGGUUUGGAGGACUCAUCUGUUAAGAGUCAAGUUUUCAUGGUUGAACUGAAUUAGCAGUGGUAGGUUUUCCUGUGGUAGCAGCAGCAAGCAAAGGCAGGGUUUCACCAAGCACUCAGAAGAUGGUUUCUUUUGUGUGGAUACCUACGCGUUUACAAUCCUGUGCCCAUGCCUGCCCCCCUCCCCUGUGAUUUACUGAAUUUGGUUUAGAAGCAAUCUUUAUACAGAUGCUUAACGAUUUUGUGCUCUGAUGGUAUAGAAAUACAGUUUUCAGAUGAGAUGUGUCUCUAAGGAUGACGUUGGGAGUCACGGAGUUAUUACUCAAGUAGUAACAGUCAAUAAUAAUAAUAAUAACAGUCACUCCAGCGACUUGGAGGUACGAGUUAAUGAUUUCAUAUUGCAGUUUUAGAAGAUGUUUGUCUCUGAAGCCACGAGUUUCAACUGAGUUGCCAAAGGAAAGCAGCAGUUAAUUCAUGUUGCUCCAUCAUUAAUCUACAGAAAAUGAAAGUUCAGAUGGUCCUGGGAGUCUAGCAUAUCUUUGAAAGCUGAGUUCUUGCCUUUUCCUAGAAAAAUACUCCAGCUUUUAAAGUCAAUAAUUCAGCCGUCGGCAGGUGCCUGUCUCAUGCGAAAGAUGCGACGGUGAACGCAGGACAGCUCUGUGCUGUGUGUUAGUAUAGAACUGUAUUGUUCCGCCGCUGUGCCUUUGCUUUGUCAUUUCUCAGUUGAGCAGGGCCUCCAGCCUCCUGAAAUGUCAGCCUAGCCCGCAAACUUGUGUAUCUUUUCCUUUUGAUUACCUUGGUUGCCGGCCAGCCUCAUAUUUGACACGUCCAGCACAGGCAAUGGAGUUGCUUCUUGGUGUCGAGCUGUUAAUCUUUUUAUUAUUUCCUGUCACUUUUCCCCAUGAUUGAUCCUCUUGGGCCCAAGGCGGGGGGGUAGGGGGGUGGUGGAAUUAUGAAUAUGACUUUGACAACCACUUUGAAAAGGAGUAUUUUUUAUACUCCUUUGAAAAGGAGUAUAAAAGAACUUGGGUCUCACCUGAGACUAUAAAGCGAUAGAAAAAGCACAGUCUGUUUUGCAAUGCAGAACCUCAGCACCCAUUGAGCUAGGUUCCAUUGGAUGCUUUGUAGGAGAAGUGAAGAGGUUUUUCCUGGUGUUUUUGCAGUGACUCUGUGCCCAGGUGUGUGGGGUGAGGGUGAUGAGAGCUCACGGGUGGUCUGCAGUUUAGUUCUAUGGAAAGGCUACAGAACGGGGUCCUCCUUCCUUCAGGAUUAAAAAUAUGAUUCUUUUUGAGUUGUAGGCUUUCCCAUAUAUUCUCUCCCUGGUAUCCCCUCUACCUCGUGUGCGGUUCACUGAUUCUUGCUCCAGCUCUGCCCCCACCCCUGACCCACCCACUGGAAUUUGAGAAGAAAAUAAUAGAACCUCAGUUGUUCAUAUAUGUUUAGCUUGUCCUUCCCCACCCCCCCCCAUUUGUUACCAUUGUGGUAAAAAAGAAAGGUAUGAAAUUUGCUAUUGUGAUCCUUUCUAAGUGUGCGAUUCAGUGGCAUCACUUACAGUCACAGCGUUGCGCAACCGUCACCAUGGUCUGCUUCCAGCAUUUUUCAUCACCCCGAGCAGACACCCUGCAGUUGUUAAGCAAUAACUCCCCACAUCCACCUUUAGCCUCUAAUCCACUGUCUGUCUCCUAUCUGCCCUUUCUAGAUAUCUCAUAUGAGUGGGAUCAUACAAGAUAUGUCCUCUGAGGGUCUGGCUUGUUUUCAUUGGGCAUAAAGUUGUCAGAGUUCAUCCCUGCUGUGUCAUGCGCCACGACUUCAUUUCUUGUCAUGGCUGAAUAAUAUCCCAUUGUCUUCGUGGACUGCACUUUGUCCGUUCAUCGGGUGAUGGACAUUUGGGUUGGCUCCACAUUGGCUAGUUUGAAUAAUGCCGCUGUGAACAUGGUUAUAAAAGAGUCCAUGGAAUCCCUGGGUUCAGUUCUUUUGGGUAUAUGUAUAUGUAUGUACGUAGAUGUAGACGUGUGCGCAAGAGUGGACUUGCUGGGCCACGUGGUAGCUCCAUGUUUAACAUUUUGCAAAACUACUGAACUGGUUUCCACCAUGGCAGCACCAUUUUAUAUCCCCAAUAACAACACAUGAGGGGUCCAGUUUCUCCCCAUUUUUGCCAGCUCUUGUUAUUUACCUCCCCCGCCCCUUUUUUAAAGUAUUUUAAUUAGUUUAUUUGUUUGGCUGCUCCGGGACUUGGUUGCAUCACUCAGGAUCUUCGAUCUUAGUUGCAGCAUGCUGGACCAUGAGUUGCAGCGUGAGGAAUCUAGUUCCCUGCCCAGGGGUCAAACCCAGGCCCCUGCAUUGGGAGCUCGGAGUCUCAGUUACUAGACCACCAGGGAAGUCCCACCAUUUUCCAUUGUUUUAUUGUAACUUCCCUAGUGGAUCUGAAGUGGUGUGUUGUGGCUUUGAUUUCCGGUUCCCUGAUGACUGAGCGUCUUUUCAUGUGCCUAUUGGUCAGCUGUGUGUUUCCUUUGGAGAAAUACCUAUCAAGACCUCUACAUUGUCCAUUUUUAUAUAUGUUUUAUAACACCUAAUAAUAGUAUAUAGUUUAUAAACUAAAAUAUACAUAUGCUUGGAUAUAUGCAGUGUCUUUUUUAAAGAUGGAAGAUGUAUUUUUUAAAAGUUUGGAGACCAUUAUUAGGAACUGUAGCAAUGAUCUAUUUUAUUUCUUGGUGCCUAACCUUAGCAGGAAAAUAUCGAUGAUAAUUCCUAAGCUUUCUCGGGUGGGGUGAGGAGGGGUUGUGAAUCUUAUUUGGUCUAAUGUAAUGUGUUUACCGGAGCCUCCAUAUGAAACUAACCACAGGGUCCCAAGACUGUCUUUGGGGUUGUUUUCUUUUGGUACAUAAGAAAGUAGAUCUCUUUGGAUGGUUUUCAAGUUAGACUUGCCUCUGCUCAAUCCUAUUUUGUGGUUCAUAGUGGCAUUUUAGGGUUCUAGUGUAUCUUAUUAAGAGAUAGAGAUAGUUUUUCAUGCCAUGUCACAUAGGCGAGCCAGAAGGCCUAGAAUGAAUGAAUCGAAAGGGAGAGGCUUAGCUCUAAAAUAAUAAUAAUGAUGGUGAUGAUAACAAUUAUUUUUACUAUGUCACUUAUAAAACUAAUUUGAUUGUAUGAAAAGAUUAGCUUUGAGGUGUGGGGAUUGAACUGGCCUAUUUCGUGACCCAGUAAGAGUGUUUUAGGCCUUGGGGGUUGAUUUAAGAAAAAAAAAAGGUUGGUUGCCCUAUUGUUGUUCUCUUCUCUGAAAGUAAACUCUGUGCAGUUACCCUAAAAUGCCAACUUCUGUCAAGGGCAUGACAUCACCACCCUAGCACAUCCUGGUGCUUUUCUUGGAAAGUGUCCACACUGGCAGGCGUUUUCCAAAUAAAACAUUUGUGUCGGUAAACAAGUGUUUUACCCAGCAGCCCAAGUGGAGAAUUUUAAAACCAGUGUUUGUUUUGCCAGCAAACAUUUUGUUUCAAUCCUUGCAGCUAAACAAGUGGGUAGGAUUUAAGUGGCCUGCUAGUGAAAACAAAGGCAGAACCAUUCUCAGAAAACUUCAGCUGAGCAGAAAUCUAGCUGCUGUUAAGAGUGUGAGUUUAGACAUUUGGGGAAGUAACUGGUACCAUCUACUGAGUUCUGCACUUAGUGUUAGUCAGAGUGAAAGAUCUUCCAUUUGGGUAAAGGCUCUGAAUUUUCUUUUCUUUUAGAGGUGAAAGAUGAAGAAAUAUAAAAGAAUCCUUGAAAAGAUCAGUUUUGCGCAUUUCAGCGUUACAGCUCGCCUUUGAGUGCACCUAACCACCGUCAGGUGUUGGCCCUGCAUCUGCUCCCUCCUCUCUAGUUGUUUUGAUGGUAAUCCCAUCCUCCAGCUCCCAGAUUAAUCAUCAGCCUCUAUCUUGUGACUUUUAUGAAAAUGGUAGUAGUGUAAUCGGGCUUCAGGGAGCUAGUGUCACUUUUAUUUAGGGUCCCUUAUAAUUGAGCGGCCUAACAUCUUUAAUCUUUUGAAGUAUAUUUUUUAUAUUUGAAAGUUUGCUUGUGAUGUGCUAUUCUUUUUAAAAAGCAGCCCUCUUUUCCUGUUCAGGACGUAGGUACCUUCUUAAGAAGAUAGAAAUUAGAGAAUAGAACAUAUACGUCGAAGAGUGUAAAAAAUUACAGCUAUAUAUGUUUCAAUUAGCAAGUGGACGUGCACUAGCCCCCAUCCUGACUUAAGAAAUAGAAUAUGGCCUUGGAACGUCCUCUGUUUUGAAACCAUGUCCCUCUUCUGGCCAUAGAGAGUUUACAGCUGUGUAGUCAUCCUUAAACGACAUCAUUUCGCUUUGCAAGUGUUGGGUGUAUAUUACACUUUACUUGUUUUUUUCAUCAAUGAUAUAAUCUCAAGAUUUAACCACGUUGCUGCCUGUACCUGUGGUCCAUUCGUUGUCAUUGUUCAGGGUUGCUGCCUUAUUGAUGGACAUCUGAGCUGUUUCCAGCAUUUGACUCUUACUACAAAGGCUAUCAAGGACAUUCAUAUAUAUACAUAUUAUAUAUAUAUAUAUCCUAUUUAUAUAUAUUUACAUUUAUAUAUUUAUAUAUAGAGAGAGAGAGGUAGAUCCUAUUUAUUGUUGAUUAGUCCCUGACUCACGUCUAACUCUUUAUGACCCCAUGGACUGUAGCGUGCCAGGCUCCUCUGUCCUUGGGCUAUUACAGUGGGUUGCCAUUUCCUAGUACAGCGGUGCAGAAGUUUUUCUGGGAUGCGUGUGGUGUGGGCGGUGGAUUUGUAGGGUUGCAGGGUAUUUGUAUUUUUAAUUGUAUUUAAAUCUGCUUGAUAUUUUUUUAGCUUCAGUGUAAUUCCAACCUGUGUUCCAAAGUGUUUGGUUCAGUUUGCUCUUCUCACAGUGAAUGGAGCUCUUACUGUUCCACACAUUCAUCAGAAACCAAGUUCUGACACCAAGUUGUCAGACUUUGUCAUGUCUGCCAGGCUGGCAAAUAAGAAAUGGUGCCUUAUUCUGGUUUUGUUUUCCCCUGAUUCAUAAUAGGCUUAUAGUGGCCGUCUUGAUACCCUUUUUUUCAAGUAUUUUCCCAUUUUUCUGUGGAUUGUCUUUUUCUUCCUAAUCUGUAGACUUCUUUUAUAUGUUGUUUAAUAUAUAGACUUUCUGUAUAUAUUCCAUCCACACAGAGUGAGUCUGUGCCCGAUCACAGGUGUUGCAAAUGACUUCCCCUACUUUGACUUGUCUUUUUACUUCAUCCUUCGGAUGCUCACAAGCUCUUAAUUUUUUUAAAUUAUUUAUUUGGGUUGUUCUGUGUCUCUGUUGUUUCGUGGGCCGCUCUCUAGGUGUGAUGCACAGGCUUUUUUUAAAAAAAAAUUAGUUUGUUUGGGGUGUUCUGGUCUCUGCUGUUUCGUGGGCCACUCUCUAGGUGUGAUACACAGGCUUUUUUUUUUAAAUUAUUUGUUUAUUUGGGGUGUUCUGGGUCUCCAUUGUUUCGUGGGCCACUCUCUAGGUGUGAUGCGCAGGCUUUUUUUUAAAUUAUGUAUUUUAUUUGGGGUGUUCUGGGUCUCCGCUGUUGCGUGGGCUGCUCUCUAGGUGUGAUGCACAGGCUUUUUAAAAAAUUAUUUAUUUGGGGUGUUCUGGGUCUCCGCUGUUGCGUGGGCCACUCUCUAGGUGUGGUGCACAGGCUUUUGACUGUGGCGGCUUCUAUUUCAGCGCCCGGGCUUUGGCACUCUGCAGCAUGUGGGCCCUUCCCAGACCAGGGGUCAAACCUGUGUCUCCUGCAUUGGCAGGCAGAUUCUUUACUACUGAGCCACCAAGGAAGCCCACAAACUCUUAAUUUCAGUAUUAUUUGAUUUCUCAGUGUUUUCGUUUAAGAUCAAUACUUUUCUAUCUUGUUUAAAAAAUUCUUCCCUAUCCCAGGUUUAUGAAGCUGUUCUCCUGUAUUCUUUAGAGUUGUGCGUUUCACGUGUGAUUCUGUUGUAAUUUAGCCAUCUGCAAAUCUGCAAGUGAUUUUGUGAAUGUGCCAUUUUUUGUCUUAAGGGAUAUCUGGCUGUGCAGGUGCAGUUUGUGUAUCUGUGUGUGCGUAUAGCCAGGACUACCGACGGCCAGUGUCCUCAGCCACGUGGCCACCUGUGCCCGUCUCUUGCGGCGUUCUCCACUCCGUCCCACCGGUCUCUUUGCCGACCCCCCUUAGUUAUCACAGCCUCCUGAUGCCUGGAAGGGCGUGGGCUCCCAUGAAGCAUGUCUCGGUGCUUGUGGCUUUUUGCCCUUCCAUAUAAAUUUUAGAAACAGAACAGGUUCCCUCACAGAACCUGGUGGAUUUAUUAUUAGGACUGCAGUGAAUCUGUGGACCUGACAUGUUUACAAUAGCGAGUCCACCACAUCAAAAGGCGGUGUGUAGUCUUUAAAGAAGGGUGCCCAAAAUAACAGAAAAUAAAAAUAAAUCAAGAAUGGCACUCAACUUCCUGGGUUCAGACCCUGGCCCCACUUUUCACUGGCCACAAGGCCCUGAAGAACCUCGGUUUCCUUAUUUGUAAACUAGGGAUCCUAAUAGUACCUGUCUAUAGGGUGAUCGAGAGGACUGAAUGAUUAAACAUGUUGCAUGUAAUAUGUGGAAGGUGCUUAGAAUACUGUCUGGCAUGCAGUAAGUACACUGUCUGGCAUUGCAUAAGUACGUGAGCACUGAUUUCCAAACGUGCUUAUUUAUAUCAUUUUCAGUGUCCCAGGAAAGUUUUAGAAUAUUCCGUAUAAAAUGAUAUAUAAGAUUUCCCUGGUGGUCCAGUGGGUACAACUCUGCUCUUCCAAUGCAGGAGGUGUGGGUUCCAUCCCUGGCUAAGAAACUAAGAGUCCACCUAUCAAGUGGUGUGGCAAAAAGAAAAAAGUCUGUAAAAUACAUAAAAUAUGUUGCUGCUUACAUGCAUGAUGUAUAGAAAUAUGUGUAAUAAUAUUCCUAGGAACGUUAAGCAUUUUGAUACUAUUGUAAAUGGUAUUUUAAAAGCUUUUCUGGGGUGCCCGAUAUUGUUGUGUUUUUUGGUGUGUUUUGUGAGCCGACUAUGGUUAUCUCUGAUGAAGAAGUAUGGCGUGCUUAUGUUGUAUAAGAUGCUGCUUGGAGUGGACAAGAAAUGUGGAGUCUUCUGUCAGGGUGGCUGCCCACAUCCCUUGGUUUCAUAGGAUUGAACAUUCUCCCAAUUUGCAUAAUUCUAAAGUGCUGUAUCCCACUGACAUCUGUUGUUGAAACCCAUAGAACAUUCUGGAAAGCUGGUUGGUUCUGUCUUACACAUCAGGCUGCUUUCAGUUGUGUUACUUCGUUUCAGGUUUUGAAAGCAUUCGAGUUCCACGCUGGAUCAUGUGCCCGAGACCCUUGUGGGUUUCCUUUCCCCUAAAUUCUGUCCUAAAAAUGCCACACCCUUUGGGAUUGGAGUCACAGCUUCACAACUCAGCUCACAUCCUGUAAAGGAACAGUUCUCUGGAUGAAAACUCACGUUGUUCUUUUGCCGUUUGUCACGUGUCACGCAUGUCUCUGAGGAGUUAUAAUUUUUAAAAAAAAAAAGAAAGAAAAGAGAAAAUUUAUAUACAUAUAGAUAUGUAUAUAUACUCAAUGGUAAAGGAUCCGCCUGCCAAUACUGGAGACGUGGGUUCAGUCCUUGACUCGGGAAGAAGGAAAUGGCAACCCACCCCAGUAUUCUUGCCUGGAGAAUCCCAUGGACAGAGGAGCCUGGCGGCCUAUAGUCCAUGGGGUCACAAAAGAGUCAGAUACAACUCAGUGACUAAACAACAGCAAAAAUAAAUAAAUAAAUAUAUAUAUAUAUAUAUAUAUAUAUAUAUGCAUGUACGUAUGUGGAGAAGGCAAUGGCACCCCACUCCAGUACUUUUGCCUUCAAAAUCCCAUGGAUGGAGGAGCCUGGUGGGCUGCAGUCCAUGGGGUCGCUAGAGUCGGACACAACAGAGCGACUUCACUUUCACUUUUCACUUUCAUGCAUUGGAGAAGGAAAUGGCAACCCACUCCAGUGUUCUUGCCUGGAGAAUCCCAGGGACGGGGAAGCCUGGUGGGCUGCCGUCUGUGGGGUCGCACAGAGUCGGACACGACUGAAGUGACUUAGCAGUAGCAGUGUGUAUACGCAUGUGUGUAUAUGUGUGUGUGUGUAAAUAUAUAUAUGUAUUCACACAGGUUCCCUUCAGCUUCCCUGCCUCUGGUUUCCGUUCUCAGCCUUCUGGUCACAUGGUAGAUCUGCCCCACGUGGGAGGUGAAGCCCCAAACUCUGUAUGAUUUCACUUUGCGUCACAGGAGGCAGAAACUCAAAGUGAAACCCAUGAGAAAACCAAUGUGUUCUUAAUGGUUUUUACCCAAACCAUAAAUCCGUCUCUUGGAGGGAGAGGGGAAGCACCCAGCGUCUGAUCGGGUUUCUCUAGCAUGUUCCAGGCGGUGUCUGCUGAUUCAGUGAUUAUCUUCUGGGACUCACUCACUCGGGGUGUUUACUGAAGAUGCAGAUUCCUGGGCCUGACCUGGACCAAGGGAAGAAGAUGGCGGGAAGGAGGAGGAGGCAGGGAUUUGCAUGUUUUAAAUGACUCUCUGGCGGUACUAACAGGCAGAUGGUGUGGGACCGGGUAACAGUGCUGAUGGCAUGGUGGGUUCAGAUUUUCAUUGAUCACCUGUGGACAAUUUCAGAGAGACUUAAUUAGGGUAGUAACACCUCUUAGGUUCCAUGUGUCAGGCACUUGAUGUUUAAGCCUGUGGGUAAAUUACUAUUAUUAGCCCCAUUUUACAGAACAGGAAACGGAGGCGUGGAGAGGUUAAAUAAAUUACUCGAACAUCUGAAGGCUUCCCAGGUGGCACAGUGGUUAGAGAAUCUACCUGCCAAUGCAGGUAGAUGCAAGAGACAUGGGUUCGAUCCUUGGGUCAGGAAGAUCCCCUGGAGUAGGAAAUGGCAACCCGCUCCAGUAUUCUUGCCUGGGAAAUCCCAUGGACAGAGGAGCCGGGCGGACUACAGUCCACGGGGUCACAAAGAGUCAGACACGACUGAGCAGAGCACACAGCAAACAUCUGAUGGGGAACUGUCAUUGUCUUUGUGGAUCCUCAAAGUAAAAUCCUGCCCUUUCUUUUUUAUAAACUAAGCUGGACUCUAGCAGAAAUGGACCUGAAGGGUCCAGUUGGAUUAGAAUCAGGCUUUCGUACCGCGUUCUGUGCCUUAUGAAUCACCCAUUCGCUCAGCAAGCCCUUGCAGGGCAUUUGGAGGCCCCGUGGCUUGAGAAAGGGAUUGGGGACAGGAAGGCACACUCAGGGAAGCAGUGUGUCAGAUGCGCUCAUGACUUCUUAGCAGAUGCUGCAGACAGAGGAGAGGAUGGUGGGCUGGAAUAGCGGGGCUUCCAUCCGUUAAGCCGUUGCCUGUGCUAAGUGUUUACAGGUAAUUUUUCACGUGUCCCUCACAAGAAUCCUCUUCCUUGGCUUCAGUUGACCACUGAUUGAACAGACUUAGAGACGUAAAGAAACUCACCCGUGGUCGCACAGCUCCUAGGUUGUGACAGGAAGACAGUGCCUAUGUCUCUCCAGAACCCAGGCUUAAGCCACUAUACCCUCAAACAGGAUUUUCUGUUUUCUAGAGGGCAGUUACUAUCCACCUGAUAGUGACCCACUCAGCCCAGUCACUAAGAUCACUCUGAGUUUUAGAGAGAUCUUCUCAAAAGCUCAUAGCGUUAUUCAUCGUUUCCUUGGCCUCCCCACUUUGUCCCCCGGGUCUGUUGUUCCUGCCUGGCCCCUGGGCCAGGUAAGAAUCCUUCAAGCCCAUAUGAUGAUGGCCACGCUCAUAACAAGACUGAGGGACGUCUAGGGACUGGAGGAGGCCGAGAACUGGUUUUGUUUUGUCGAAUUUUUUGUAUUUGUGUAUUUGGCUGCGUCGGGUCUUAACUGCGGCUUGCAGGAUCACUUGCUGCAGUGCAUAGACUCUCUAGUUCGGGUGUGCAGGCUCAGUGGCUUCGCAGUAGGUGGGAUCUUAGUUCCCGGACCAGGAAUUGAACUCGUGGUCCCCUGCAUUACAAGGCAGAUUCUUAACCACUGGACCACCAGGCAAGUCCCCCAGAACUGGUCUCUGAAUGAGCACCCUAGCUUUGCCCACGAGUACACGAUGUGUUCACACUGGGCAGAGAUGGGGCAGCUGUCUGUGUCCUGAGAGCGCUCCUUAAUUUUCCUGAGGGAUGUUCAGCCUCUGGCAUUGUGCCAUAUGCAUAUAGGCAUUCAAUAUGAUUACUUUUGAACCUGUUUAGGAUCAUAGAGUGUUUGGUCAUGAAAACAUCCAGCUCGAUUUCUCCCUCUUGCUGAAAAGGGAAGGAAAAACGUUACGCAUUGAGAGACUCGCUCCAGGUAACUAGCUAGAGGCAAGUCUAGAACCUAGUUCCCUGCACCAGCACCGUACCUUCCUUCUGCCUCUUCGAUCCCACUUCAUGCCAGCACUGCUCUCAUCAAGCUGAAUCAUGUUGUGAAUAAGCCCUAAGAAUUUCCACUUCAAAAUGAUUCAUGUGGCAGGGCUUUCUUUUGGAAGGCAGGCUUACCUUCCUUAUUAUGUAUUACCUAGGCUGCUGAUAAAAUUAUUUUGUUUCUAAUUGUAUGAUGACUUUCCUGGCUGGCUCAGCGAUAGUCUGCCUGCAAUGCAGGAGAUUCGGUUCAAUCCUUGGGUCGGGAAGAUAUCCUGGAGAAGGAAAUGGCAACCCACUGCAGUAUUCCUGCCUGGAGAAUCCCAUGGACAGAGGAGCCUGGUGGGUCGAUGAUGGGAGAGACUCUUCUGAAAUAUCACCAGGCCCACUGCAGAGCUCCACACCCAGCAAAGUGGAAAAUCUCCUUAUGGAUAUUCCAUUUGCUUAUACAGGUUUUCAGUGGAAAAGAAGAAAACUUAACAAAAAGGUACAAUAGCGUUGUAAACAUCUUUAUUGCUUUUUAAUCUUCGAGGCCCCUGACCUUAUGAUCGAGGCCUCAGACAUACAAGUGUGGGCUGUAACUUACGCCUCCCUCUGACCCGGUGUCCUUGGAGAACAGGCCUGUGAGUGGAGGAGAGCUGAGAAAGAGCCCGUUCAUUAAGUUGGCUGUUUCAUUCAUUAAAAAUGACCCCACCAGUGGGGACCAGUCAAGGCUGUCGCAUCAGGGCCCAGGCCUGUGUUUUGCUCUACUCCGUGCAAAUUCUGUCGCACUGUCGUCCUCACCCUGACUUCACACUGAAGUACAGACGAGCUCAGGGCCUUUUUCUGUACUCCUCAGCAUUUCUUUUCCUUUUCGCCUUCAACAUUUUGUUGAAGUGUAAUGUGCCCACAGAAUGGUAUACACAGAUAAGCAAGGUCCUACUGUAUAGCACAGGGAACUAUAUUCAACACCCGUUGAUAAACCAGAAUGGAAACGAACAUGAAAAAGAAUAGACAUAUGUAUGAGUGAAUUGCUUUACUAUCCAGCAGAAAUUAAUACAUUAUAAACCAACUAUAUUUCAAGGAACUUUUUAAAAUAAAAAAAAAUUUUCAAGUAAAGUUUUCUUUAAAAAAGAUGAGUAUACACAGCAUAAAGGGACAGCUCCCUGAAUUUUCACCAGGUGAACCUGCCCCCGAGAGCUUUUGAGUGCCACAGGCCUGGUUUCCGAAUCUGGCAUCACCUUUACCCUCUGUGUCAGCGUGGGCAAAUUAUGGGACCUUUUUGCACCUUAGCUUGCUCACCUGGCAGUAGCUUUUCAUAGGUGUUUGUGGAGAGUAAAGAUAAUAUAUGCUGCGCACCCAGAGCCCGCCCUUUUUUGUAAUCCCAGGAGAGCCUCUGCAAACCAACACUCUCAAAGUGGGUAGUUGGAAGCAUGUAAUGUUAUGUAACUACUCACGUGUGUUUGGAAAUGUAGUUGACAACACAGACCAUUGAAAACAAAUGACUGAGACUGAUUUUGGCUCAGUGUCUUCAAGGAGAAACUUGGUUUGAAGUAGGUUAAAGUUUCACCCAAUUUGUCGGUACUUAUUCAUAUAUGUGGGAGAAGACUAUUGAGAGUCCCUUGGACUGAAAGUUGAUCAAACCAGUCAAUCCUAAAAGAAAUCAAUCUUGAAUAUUCAUUGGAAGAAGUAAUGCUGAAACUGAAGCUCCAGUACUUUGGUCACCUGAUGCAAAGAGCCUAUUCAUUAGAAAAGACCCUGAUGCUGGGAAAGAUUGAGGGCAGGAGGAGAAGGGGACGACAGAGGAUGAGAAGGUUGGAUGGCAUCACUGACUCAGUGGACAUGAGUUUGGGCAAGUUCUGGGAGAUGGUGAAGGACAGGGAAGCCUGGAGUGCUGCAGUCCAUGGGGUCACAAAGAGUCGGACACAACUGAGCAACUGAACAACAGCAAAUUCAUAUAUACGUCGCUUCGUUCCCAGAAAGCUCAGUCACUGAGUCGUGUCUCACUCUGCAACCCCAUGGACUGUAGCCCUCCAGGCUCCUCUGUCCAUGGGAUUCUCCAGGAGUGGAGAAUCCCAUACUGGAGUGGGUAGCCGUUCUCUUCUCCAGGAGAUCUUCCCAACCCAGGGAUCAAACCUGGGUCUCCAGCAUUGCAGGCAGAUUCUUUAACAUCUGAGCCACCAGGAAAGCCCUUCAUUCCAAAAAGGGAAUCAUAAAAAUAUGCAUGGUACAACAGUAUUUAAAAAUCAGUAAAGUGAAAGAAUUUCACUUUCCUUCUCCAACGGAUCUUCCCAACUCAGGGACUGAACCCGGGUCUCCUUCAUUGUAAAAAUCAGUAAGGUGGUAAAAAUAAAGAAGGAGGGAAAAAAAGAAGAUUAAAACACAUUUUAAAGAAAAGAAUAUAAGAAAAGUAAAUAAGGAGGUGAACCGGGGUUAAAGUAGAGACGUGAACUGAAUCUUGGGAUGAGGUUGAUUCCCAAGAUGAUGUUGUGAAAUCCAGGCCAUUUGCUCAAUGUGGGCCCCAGAGCUGACUUUGGGCUUCUGAGCACUCAAAGCAGAUGGGGGAAAUGAUUGACAGUAAGACUCAGAGGGUCCUUGUGAAGCGAAAGCAAACCAGUUGUGCAGGAGAAACUCGAUUUUUCUCUUGGUACCAAGACCUUCCUUCUAUGGGUCUUCACAAGGAGAAUGUGAUGGAACAUGGUGCGAUACCCUGUAACUGAUCAGAAAAUCUGCUCUAUAAUGCUGUCUUAGCCUCUGCCUCUCCAUACACAUGUGGCCCAAAGCCAACAUCUAAGUUAGUAAAAGUAGUUUUAUAAAUGACCAUAAACUAAUGACAUUCUAUUCUCCAGUUUAUUUCAAUGAUGCAAUGAAAAUCGAUACAGGCUGGUUAUGCAUAACAGCUCUGUUCACUCGUGAAUUUCCAAAACUACCAUGCGGCAGCCUGGUACAUGGGAAUUCGAUGUUUGGGCUGGACGGGGCAAGAAGAAUUUUCGACCUCUCUUCUAAAGAAGACUCUGAAGAAUCUUUAGGACGUGCCUGGGAAGAGGGGGUUAGGAGAAACCAAAGUGAAGUGGGCUUUCUUGGUGUGAGCUGUAAUCUGAGAGACCGUUCAGGCUGGGCCUGUGGGACUCGACUUUGCAGGGAGGAGAAAUGUGCUUCACUGGAAAAAUUGUAGUUCUUCGUCACCGAGGAGCAGGCUCAGGGGUCAGGCCAAGAGGUCAGUUUGGGGUAGGUUGAGUUUGCAGUCCCCCUCACUGGGAAGUCAUGUUUUCCACACAUGCACACACACACACACACGCACACACACACGCACUGUAAGUGUGUACCCUUGUUGUUAUAUUACACAGAGCAUAUACACGGAGAUGAAUGAUGAGAAGUGGGUUUUAGUUUUGAAAUUUGAAAUUCAGAUGUUUUCGAAUGAAACCACCCUUAAUAGUAGCAGCAAAUACGGUGUUUUCUCAUCACUAAUAAAGCAGUGGGUCUCGCAGUCUUUGCUUUAUCAUAAUUGUGCUUAUUUAUUUAGGCUGUGCCGAGUCUUCAUUGCCGCGUGGGCUUUUCCCUAGCUGCGGCGAGCAGGUUUCUCAUUGCAAUGGCGUCUCUCGUUGCAGAGCACAGAUUCUAGAGCAUGCGAGCUUUUUAGUAGUUGCACCAGGUGGGCUCAGUAGCUGUGACUCCUGCGCCCUGGAGCACAGGCUCAGUAGCUGUGGUGCACGGGCUUGGUUGCUCUGCAGCAUGUGGGAUCUUCCUGGACCAGGGAUCAAACCUGUGUCUCUUGCAUCGGCAGGAGGAUUCUUUCACGCUGAAUCGCCAGAGAAGCCCAGUCCUCGCAGGCUUGUAUGUUACAUGUCAUCAUAUGUCUUUAUAAGUGCAGACAGUGAAACUCAGAGGGUUUGGACCCUUUGUCUACAUUGUCAGUUGAUAAGAGGUAGAAGCAGAGUUUGUGCCUGUUUCUAGCACCUUCGCUCUAGGUAGUCUUUCUCUUUUAAGGAGAGUGUCUCUUACCUUUGUCUCUCCCCGCAUCCACACUGGAGGUAGGACCUGGCCUUGCUGCUCUCUUGCAGGGCAUCUGUGGACCACGGUCUCGUGCAGAUGCAGAGGGCAGUGGUGAGGAAGCCUUCACAUCCAGGCUGGGAAUGUUCUACUGCAGAGGCAGCCAGGCGCAAGGGACUGACAUCACCUGCAGUGGGAGUUUGGACAGUAUGGAACCUGGUCAACCAGCGAGCCCACCCAGAGGGGACUAGACAGCACUGGAAAACCGCAGCAAGGCCGCUUUCCUUGUACCAUCUUUCUGCACGGCCAGUUACAAUUGCAAAUCACUUCUGUCUUUGUGGGCACAGAUUUUAGCUGGAGGGGACCUCUUGGGGCCUGUAAAUGUCUUGACUGGGAGGUGUACUGAGCCUACUCUAGGGGCCCAGCACACUUUCGAAUUCACAGCCAUUUGGGUUUUUGUGGCAGGUGCCAUGUAGGUUCCAGAGACCCUGAGUUAUAUGAUGGACCCCCUCACCUCCCCCAGAGAGCUUUCUCCACCAACAGCCAGGAGCCUUGUGACCUGUGGUCAGAGCCCAGUGUUGUGACUGCUUAGUUUAUCAACCCCUCCAGCAUGCUUAGUCGCUCAGUCGUGUCCAGCUCUUUGCGGCCGCAUGGACCAUAGCCCUCGGUCUGUGGGAUUUCCCAGGCAAGAAUAGUGAAGCAGGUUGCCAUUUCCGCAGUCUAAAAACCUGUGCCCGAUUCUGGAAUCUCUCAGAGGCCUCAGGAGCUGGAAAUACAUCUCUUCUAUAAGGAGAGCACCUUGGCGUCCCCACCCACAAAGAGUCUUCAAUUCCGAAUGGAAUCGGGGCCCUGGCUGGCCAGAUUUUUGAGUUGCAUUUUCACCAUGUUCACGGCGCUCUAUUAUUUGAAACAGCCACUAUCCGUGCAGCCCGUAAAGCCUACAGGGUUGGCCGGCCACGGUAGGCCGUGCGUGGGGAGCAACCACUGAUCAUCUGUCUGAAUUCAAAACGUGGAUCUCGACCCGUUUCCUCUGGGUGGUUACUUCUCUUUGAAAAUGGCUUGCUUCACUCAGCUGGCCGGCAGAGCCCCCUCGCUGUGCAAGUGAUGCCUGGACCUCUCAUGUUCCUCUCCUUUCCUGGGGCUGCUCCUCCUAGCUUUGCAAAUUCAUAGCCUCUCAGCCUCCACCUCUGGCUCAGCUUAUCAGCCGUCCUUAACCUUUGUCCUGUUAUCUUGGCGGAGCUCCACGCACUCGUGGUGCAGCAGGAAAAGAGGACCUCUGUGUUCAGAGCAGCGGUCCUCCAGCCCGCUGGUAACUCUUUCCACCCUGUUUUGUUUUGUUUUGUUUUUUUCUUUUUGGCUGUGCCAUGCGCCAUGUGGGAUCUUCCUUUGCACUGGGAGCAGGGAGACCACUGGACACCCCAGGGAAGGCCCUCCACUGGGGUCUAUCAGGGCCCUUCCCCAGCUUUCCUGAUAUCUUGGUUUGCCUUUGGGGAAAGCAGGAAGAGCCAUUCCAGGCAGGUCUUUAUGGCUGCAGGUGUUUUCAGCCGGCUUCUCCCUGGCAACACCUGGCAUUUCAUGGUCCUCUCACUUUCCAUCCUUAAGGCAAGACAUGCAGGCAGGGCAGACCUUCAGCAGACCGGGGCAGCUCAGAGGUGUCUGAACAAAGCAGACAGUUCAAUUUGUUGGUCGGUUUUAACAUCAGCCUCUUUGAAGAGAGUCCGAAUCCGUAUUUCAAGUAGAGGCCAAACCAGCCAGAGGGACACCGCUGGGAUGAUUUCGGGAAAGUGCUGGGUCACUUUUGUGUCGCUCUGUGACCCCACGCCAGGCUCCUCUGUCCAUGGGAUUCUCCAGGCAAGAAUACUGGAGUGGGUUGCCAUUCCCUUCUCCAGGGGAUCUUCCCGACCCAGGGGUUGAACCUGGGUCUCUAGCUUUUCAGGCAGAUUCUGUACCGUCUGAGCCACCUUCAGGAACAGGUGAUAAAGCAGGGACUUUGGGGCCAGAGAGGCUCACUCUGAUCCUGUGAGAUCCAAUCCCACUAACCCUCCCAUCUGCAAGAUGGGGCCAGAUGUCUGCCUCAGGGAGUGUGGUGAAGGUGAAGUGCGAUCCUGCAGGCAGACCACAUGGUUCAAGACGGAGUCAGCGCUCUCAGGACAUGGCAAUUUCCUUUCGUAUCCGCUUCACAAUCCAGACCUGUUUCCAGGGCAAGCUGUUGUGGCUCGGAACAACUCACUGCAGUCAGUCUUGCAGCCGCCAAGCUAAGGAGAGCCUUUCUGAGGGCUUAUCCUCAGCGGCUGGGCAAACGGAAGGGAGCAGGGGUGACACCCUGAGUCGCCAGGAGAGCUCAGGGAGGCUGGAGGCAGAGGGGGACCAGGAGGAGCAUCUGUGGGUGUCUGCGCCCCAGCCUGCAGGCCACUGAGCUGCUUUCUCCUCUUUGCCUGGCUUCUUCCUCUGCCUCUGCCCUCAGACCCCCGGGGAAUCUGCAUCUGGGCCCCACCUCCUGGUGACGCACAGCUGCUGGGGGCGCUGCAUGGCCACGUGGCCCUGUCAAGUGCCUUCUGGCAGCUCUGAGUCCCCGGGAGGGCUUUCAGAUUUCAAGAAGUGAGAAUACUCAGCCCUGGGAGCUGGGGUGGGCGGCCUGAAGGCAAGCCCCAGCUUCCUGUAGCUUUGGACCUCCUGCCAGUCACCCUCUGACCCCAGUCUCCUCCUGUGUACAUGGGGGCUGUGAGUGCUGGGCACACAUGUGUGAACCAGAGCCGCCAGGCCCUGGCCCUCCCCACGGGGGCCAAAUGUGUCUGAAACCAGCUCUCCAGGCCACCUCCUCCUCCUGCACCUCCCCCCCCCCACCCCACCAGGCAGUACCACCUGCCAGGAUGAGUGCCUGCCGGGCGGAGGGGGAAACUCCAAGGACCAGCACCUCCCCAGCUCCAAUGCGGCUUUGAGAAGUUGUCAUCUGGGGACCCUGUUCUGCAUAACUGUGACCACGCUGGCUGAAACAGCUCAGCAGUUCCCAGCACAGCCUGGCGACCCCAUCACUUCCCACGCGGCCCAGCCUUUCUCAGCCUCCACCGUGAACCUCCUUCUCUUCCGAGACACGAGCUGAGAGCUAGAAACUCAUGAAUGAAUCUUUCACUUUCGGUGUCUUCUUCCUGAAUGAGUCGUCACUUCGAUUUUUUUUUUUUUUCUCCUAACUCUGCUCUCUGAUCUCAAGGACCACAUCUGACAGAAUCCUCCUGUUUAAAAUACGAGGGGGGGAGGGAGGGUGUUUUUUUUUCAAUGUCUCUUUAUUAAUCAAAACGACUUUGGUUUACACUAAACGCCUUAUGCAGGACUCAUUUAGAAGACUAGAGCUGUUUGUGAGAAAGUGAAAGUAGCUGAUAAUCCUGUUUUAUAUGUGUAAAAACUGACAAACCAUUUAAACUUUCUUCCUCCUGGUAACAGGAAAAAUAAAAAAAAACAGCCAAGGGACUUGAAUUUUUGUCACUCUUCUUUUCGCCUCCCGGUGCCUGGGAUGAAGAUGUCACAGGGCUCUUAGGUGCCACAGUCCUGCUCGACUCUUGAGGCAGGAGGAAUAAUUGGCUUUUUCCUUGAGAGGAGGGCAGUAGGGCUGUGUCUGAGCUAUUCUCUUGCAAAUCCCCCUGGGUACUUGAUGGUGAAGUCUCACCAGCUUCUAGUCUGCGUCACUUCUCGCUUUCCUUUGAACAAGGGCAACGAGCUGCUCUUUUUCUGCCCAGCCCUCGUGCUGAAAAAAUCCAGUAGGUGGCCAGAGAGUCUUUAGAAGACUGAAGACAGCCUCAGAGAGCCACUGGACCGGGUUUUAAAAAGAAAAGUGUGCUAAGAUCUUUGUCUAGCCAACAAUGCAGGAGGGGCUGAAUGGGACCCUGGCCUGGGGACAGGUGACUUAAAUUAGGCAAGUUACAAAUUGCCGUGUUUGACUCUGGCUAAAUGAAAUUCUCAAAAUAGUCCUUGAACCUAGGCAGCUGAAGCAAGUCCCCAGACCAGACCUCUUGACCGGCCUCAUUUCAGCCCCUCAUUUAUGGUGCAGUGGCCCCGUCUGCCGCCUCUCCCAGGGGCCCCCCUCCCAGCCCCCAGAAAGCUCUGCGGGACGUGGAAGGACUCUGCCAGCAGCGGGGGAGCCCAGCCCUGGGAGUUCUGUGGGCUGAGAACUUUGCCCCUUGGUAAACGACUUUUGUAAAAAAAAAAAAAAAAAAAUUCUGAGUUGCGGAGACGGGGAGAAGGAAAUUGCUCUGCAGUUCAUGGUUCGAGCGCUCUGCUUCCUGUGCCGUCCCCUUGCGAGGCCUACGACGCGAGUGUGAACCUGCCCUCCGGCCCCUGCCCUGCCGGGGUCUGUCUCGUGCGCGCAGGCGUGUGCUGUCUCACGGGGCUGUCCCCAGGAGCGAUCUGCAUCCUCGAAUAAAAGAUCCGCUGAAUGGACUGGUGCCUUUAGCAUUCAUGUGGCAGUGGCCUAUUAUAGAUGAAACAGACGUUACGUACAAUUUACUACUGUAGCGUUUUUUUAAGCGUACGGUUUACUGGAAUUAAGUACUUUCACACUCUUGUGCAACCAUCGUCACCAUCCAUUUUCAAAACUUUCUCAUCUCCCCCACUUUAAAGUCUGUCCAUCUCCAUCACCCUCUGGGAGCCCGCAUUCUUCUUUCCAUCUCUAGAUUUGACACUCCAGGGAUGUACUGUGGGUAGAAUCAUCCAGUAUUUGUCCUUUUGCGUCUGGCUUAUUUCACUCAGCAUAAUAUUCUCAAGAUUCAUCCAAGUUGUAGCCUGUGUCAGUUCUUCAUCCCUUUUUAAGACUGAGGGAUGUUCCGCUGUGUAGACCCCAUUCGGUGUCUUCAUUCAUCAUCUGUGAACACUUUUUAGCUGUUGUGAAUAAUGAGUGUCCGAAUAUGUUUGAGAUUCUGCUUUCAAUUCUUCGGGGUAUAGAUGCAGAAGUGGAAUUGCUGGAUCAUGGGGUAAUGCUAUUUUUAAUGUUUUGAGGAACUGCCAUACUGUUUUCCAUAGAGGCGCUUCUAUUUUACAUGCCCACCAGCAGUGCACAAGGAUUUAAUUUUCUCCACAUGCUUGCUGACUGUUGCUGUCUUCUGGUGUUUGGGUCCCAGACCUCCUAAUGGGAGUGGGCUGGUGUCUCAUGGGAGUUUGGGAGAGUGCGAGGUAAUGUGGGUGUUUGAUGGUGUGCAGAGCUGAACCCCGCUUCUGUGUUUCUGUGUGAUGGAACAGGUGGGAGAAGGCUCCUUACCCUUCCAUUGCCUGGGGUCAAGCUCUGAGCCCCUGUUUUCCUCCACUCUAGCUAAGCCCUGUGUGUCUUUGGGCAACUGCACAUAAGAGGCCUGUGAACAGGGCUGCUGUUAGCUCCGUCCCAGAGGAAGCAUCUUGGAGUGGGCUGGGAUGCCUUGAAGAUCUUUCUUCGAGCCUGUGGGCAGGAGCAGGGGCGCUCUCUUUGAUCAGUUUACUGGGGGGUGUGCUUGCAUCAGAAGGCUAACUCACUGCUGACACGGUUUUGAGUUUUACAAAGAUAUCCUGCUCCUCCUGCUGCUUUUUAUUAUUUUUAUUAUUGUUGUUGUUGUUUAUUUGGCUUCUCCGGGUCUUAGUUGUAGGAUUCAGGAUUUUAGUUUCGGCAUGUGGGAUCUAGUUCUGGACCAGGAGUCAAACCCAGGCCCCCUGCUUGGGGAGAGUGGAUUCUUAGCUGAUGGACCACCAGGAAAGUCCCUGCUAUUGAAAAAGAUGCUCACCUACCACAAAAGUACUAGUUUUCCAGGUUAAAUGGGAAAAAUGAAAGACCUGUCUAUGGCCAAGUUUAUAUUUUAAAUGGAAUGAUUGUUUUUUGAUUAUUUUGAAAAUUGUGGCUUUAACAUCAGAUUUCUGAUGUUAUAAAAUUCUUUGAUAAAAUUCUGUAAUAUAAGGGGAUAAUACAUAAAGUUCAGAUGGGUAAGAAUAAGUCUAAUUAAAUUAGUAAACUAAUAAAGUAAUGCAAUUAUGUAAAAUUUGGGAAAUAGAAAAAAUAUAACACAUUCCCAUCACUCUGACACGAUUUCUGUAUCAUUUUGAUACAUUUCUGUUUUGUUUUCUUACUUUAAAAAAAUGUUUGUAAUAAUAUGUACAUAAAAUGUGCCAAUAAAGCUUUCCAAAAGGUUUUGUCCAUUUACGAUGCCAGUAGCAGCUCAACAUGUGAAGGCUUCCACUUGCUUCAUUCAUCCUAGUGGACUUUGAGAAUUUCUUUUCCUAAUUUAAUAGAUAAAAUUUUUUUAACUACUUGGCUUAAUUUAUAUUUCUUCUGUAAAAAAAAACUUAUGUUUCCCUUUUGAUUUAAUUUUUAUUUUUAAUGAGUUUUUAUUUCUAUUAUUUAUUUAUUUGGCUACACAUGUUGUGGCAUGUGGAUCUAGUUCCCUCACCAGAGAUUGAACCCAGGGCCCCCUGCGUUGGUAGCAGAGAGCCUUAGCUCUUGGACCACCAGGGAAAUCCCCUUGCUCUUUAAUUUUGACAUAGAGAAAGUUCAUAUUUCUGUGUGGUCAAGUUUUCUAUGGUCUUUUUAAAAUGUCCC
ensembl:lncRNA